AAGACAACCAGGAUGUUGGCUCAGAAGCAGCCAUACAUUCAAAGAGUGCGUAAUAGCUCACUGGUCGAGAGGUCCUGCGCCGAAAAUGUCCGGGGCUGAAACGCGCCACCGAAACUAAGGAACCGAAAGGUUGGUAGAGGAGCAUUGCAUGCGGGAAGAAGCAGUACCGGAAGGAGCUGUGGACUGCAUGGAAGAGAGAAUGCCGGAAUGAGUAGCGAGAUAGAGGUGGGAAUCCUCUAGGCCGAAUAUCCAAGGUUUCCAGGGUAAAGCUGAUCUGCCCUGGGUGAGUCGGGACCUAAGGUGAGGGCGAGAGCCGUAGCCGAUGGACAACAGGUUGAUAUUCCUGUACUGCAGUAUGACAGAACUGUGGGGACACGUAAGGAGAGCGGGAGCCGGGAAUGGAAAGCCCGGUACAAGCGAGGUACCAGUAUGGUAGGAAAAUCCGCCAUGCAAUGGGAAGACGUGAUGUGGAGCGAAGUUUAGUAGCGAAGCCCGUGAGCCAUGCGUCAAGAAAAGCCGCUAUCGUUCAUAUUGUACCCGUACCGUAAACCGACACAGGUGGAUGAGGAGAGAAUCCUAAGGCCGGCGGAAGAAGUAUUGUUAAGGAACUCGGCAAAAUGACCCCGUAACUUCGGGAGAAGGGGUGCCUGCGAGAGCAGGCCGCAGAGAAUAGGCUCAAGCAACUGUUUAGCAAAAACACAGGUCUAUGCGAAACCGAAAGGUGAGGUAUAUGGGCUGACGCCUGCCCGGUGCUGGAAGGUUAAGAGGAGAGGUUAGACGUAAGUCGAAGCUUUGAAUUUAAGCCCCAGUAAACGGCGGCCGUAACUAUAACGGUCCUAAGGUAGCGAAAUUCCUUGUCGGGUAAGUUCCGACCCGCACGAAAGGCGUAAUGAUUUGAGCGCUGUCUCGGCAAUACAUCCGGUGAAAUUGAAGUGCCAGUGAAGAUGCUGGCUACCCGCGCCAGGACGGAAAGACCCCAUGGAGCUUUACUCCAGUUUGGCACUGGGGUCCGGUGUUGCAUGUACAGGAUAGGUGGGAGGCUGAGAAACGGUAACGUCAGUUGCCGCGGAGCCGCUGUUGGGAUACCACCCUUGUGAUAUUGGGCUUCUAACCAGCCGCCGUAAACCGGCGGUGGGACAAUGCCAGGCGGGGAGUUUGACUGGGGCGGUCGCCUCCGAAAGGGUAUCGGAGGCGCCCAAAGGUUCCCUCAGAAUGGACGGAAACCAUUCGAAGAGUGCAAAGGCAGAAGGGAGCUUGACUGCGACACCGACGG
rnacentral:rRNA from 1 species